rnacentral:hammerhead_ribozyme from 1 species
AUCCAGUUGAUGAUUCCUAAAUAGGACGAAACGCGCGUCUUGGAU